rnacentral:rRNA from 1 species
UACAGAGGGGGCAAGCGUUAUUCGGAAUUAUUGGGCGUAAAGGGCGCGUAGGCGGCUUGGCAAGUGGAAGGUGAAAUCCCUCGGCUUAACCGAGGAACUGCCCUCCAAACUGCUUUGCUUGAGGCCGGGAGAGGUGAGUGGAAUUCCCAGUGUAGCGGUGAAAUGCGUAGAUAUUGGGAGGAACACCAGUGGCGAAGGCGGCUCACUGGACCGGUUCUGACGCUGAUGCACGAAAGCGUGGGGAGCAAACGGG